CCACCACUCCUCGUCUCAUCAAAACUCAUUUGCCUGUUCAGCUAGUACCCAAGUCCUUCUGGGAUCAGAACUCAAGGAUUGUGUAUGUAGCACGUAAUGCGAAAGACAAUGCAGUUUCCUACUUUCAUUUUGAUCGAAUGAACAUGGUACAGCCUGAACCAGGGGACUGGAACCACUUCUUAGAGAAAUUUCUGAAAG